rnacentral:lncRNA from 1 species
ACGAAAUGAGGCCUAGGGCAUUUUCAAGCAGCCCACCAUUGGAGAUUAAAAAGGACUAGAAUCCUAUACAAUAUCAAAACAGUCCCCCCUGUACCCGACAUCCUCACACUCAUAUCAACUGUAACAGAACUUUUGUAAGACUCUACCGCCUUCUCAUUGGUCAUGGUCAAAAACUGCCAAAACUAUCGUAAGACUCUGAACACCUUCUCAUUGGUCACGAUCACAUUUAUUACUUGAAGGCCAAGUAAACACCUCAAAUACCCUAAUCGUUUGGU